CCUACGGGUGGCUGCAGUGGGGAAUAUUGGGCAAUGGGCGCAAGCCUGACCCAGCAACGCCGCGUGAAGGAAGAAGGCUUUCGGGUUGUAAACUUCUUUUGUCAGGGACGAAGCAAGUGACGGUACCUGACGAAUAAGCCACGGCUAACUACGUGCCAGCAGCCGCGGUAAUACGUAGGUGGCAAGCGUUAUCCGGAUUUACUGGGUGUAAAGGGCGUGUAGGCGGGGCUGCAAGUCAGAUGUGAAAACCACGGGCUCAACCUGUGGCCUGCAUUUGAAACUGUUGUUCUUGAGUGCUGGAGAGGCAGACGGAAUUCCGGGUGUAGCAGUGAAAUGCGUAGAUAUUAGGAGGAACACCAGUGGCGAAGGCGGUUUGCUGGACAGCAACUGACGCUGAGGCGCGAAAGCGUGGGGAGCAAACAGGAUUAGAUACCCUAGUAGUC
rnacentral:rRNA from 1 species